GACACGCUGGCGGCGUUGCUUAACACAUGCAAGUCGAACGGAGUACCCUUGAUUGAGGCUUCGGCCAAUUUCUUGGACUACUUAGUGGCGGACGGGUGAGUAACGCGUGAGUAACCUGCCGUUCAGAGGGGGACAACAGUUGGAAACGACUGCUAAUACCGCAUAACGUAUAGAUAAGGCAUCUUAACUGUACCAAAGGAGCAAUCCGCUGAAUGAUGGACUCGCGUCCGAUUAGAUAGUUGGUGAGGUUAACGGCUCACCAAGUCGACGAUCGGUAGCCGGACUGAGAGGUUGAACGGCCACAUUGGGACUGAGACACGGCCCAGACUCCUACGGGAGGCAGCAGUGGGGGAUAUUGCACAAUGGGCGAAAGCCUGAUGCAGCAACGCCGCGUGAGGGAAGAAGGUCUUCGGAUUGUAAACCUUGUUUUUAGUGACGAACAAAUGACGGUAGCUAAAGAGGAAGCCACGGCUAACUACGUG
rnacentral:rRNA from 1 species